ACUAAUCUCUCUACAGCGGUAGAGCGUAAGACUCUUAGAGAAAAUCUUAAGGCUGCGGGUUCGAGCCCCGCAUUGGGC